CCUGAAACCAAUAGUGUGUUGUUAUUGGUCCACCCUGUACAUGCAUCAACGCGCCAGGAAAACGAGAAAUGCCGCCUUUUAGUGCCUCAAGUGCAUAGAAGAGGCGCGAAAUUCCCCGAUCUUGUAAUGAAUAAACUGCUCUUGAACUAAGGGAGAUUUUAUUUUAUCGACAGAAAAAUUGCACGGCAAGCGCUUCCCAUCUUUAACCAGCCAACAGUUUUGGCAAAAACUAUCGAGCUUUCGUGCAUUCAAACAGUGCAAGUCAGUUUUGGGGGACUCUGAUUUCACAAAACCGAUAAACUCUUGAACAAACCAUACAAAAAUACUUAUUGUACCUAAUCAGUUCCUGAUAACGAUAAAUAGCUGGAUUUUCAAUAACUGAAGCAAAUGAAAAUGAAGAAAUUUCCACAUUUUCCUUCAAACAUUUUUAAAAUACAGGAUUUUAAUAAUGUUUGUAUAACUAGAAACGAUUAUUUCGAAUCGUUCCAAUCGAAAAAAAACAACUGCAACAUACGUUUAGGGUGUAAAUGUGCAUUAAUUCUCGUUUCUGCUGCUUCCUCAACACCGAAGUGCUGAAAAUGUUGCAGCACCAGAAACAUUCGCUAGAAAAUUACGCAUUUACAUCCGAAACUUUUGAUAGUUUUUCUCGAUUUGGAGUUGAAUUACAAUUUUUCGCAACGUUUCGUUUCAAACUCGUUCGUUUAAAACGCUAUCUAUUCCAAGCCGUUGUCCUUCUAAUGGACAAUCAAUUUUGUUUCUAGACCCACUUACUCACAAUGGGUUAUUAUCAUGAGCAUGUUAGAUAAGUUCUAUAUUGUUGAAACAUUUUUGAGGCGAAAUACCCAAGAAGAAGUUUGUAAAAAAAUGAGCAUGAUAUUUAUCAAAAACAUUUUUUUCGGUGCCCGACCGCGUCUGGGGCAUUUAAAUAUUUAUCGUACUCCUGCAUACAUAAGCCUCAUUAGGGAAUAUUAUCAAUAUUUGCAUUGUCCUACUAACUAUAUAAAGCGACGAGUUCGCUAAAAUAACUACACUCGUCCAACAAUGGCCUUUCAAAUGGUAAACGCGAUUAUUCUCGUGGCACUUUUGGUGCUCAUGCAGGGCCAAAUCAACCAAGCAAUUGUGUGCCCGCCGAAUUUUUGCCAAAAUCACCCCUGCACAACUCCACUAAGUUGUCCAAUAAAUCAUACAUUAGCGGACAGCUUUUGCGGCUGUUGUCAGCGAUGUGUGACCGAGAUUUUUGAGGGAGAAAGAUGCCCGGUCAGACUGCGAGGCGUUCCGCCUUCCUGGGCUUGUUCCACUGGCCUCGAAUGCUGCAACAAUGUUUGCUCAAAACCGGAAAAUUGCUCAUAAAAAUGUUAUAAAUUGUAAUUUUUCCGAUGUCAUUGGCGGCAAAUUGCGAAAAUGUUACUUUGAAAUAAUCAACAAUAAAUAAAUUUGAACAUA